UACGUAGGGCGCAAGCGUUAUCCGGAAUUAUUGGGCGUAAAGAGCUCGUAGGCGGUUUGUCGCGUCUGCCGUGAAAGUCCGGGGCUCAACUCCGGAUCUGCGGUGGGUACGGGCAGACUAGAGUGAUGUAGGGGAGACUGGAAUUCCUGGUGUAGCGGUGAAAUGCACAGAUAUCAGGAGGAACACCGAUGGCGAAGGCAGGUCUCUGGGCAUUAACUGACGCUGAGGAGCGAAAGCAUGGGGGAGCGAACAGG
rnacentral:rRNA from 1 species